rnacentral:rRNA from 1 species
UACGUAGGGACCGAGCGUUGUCCGGAUUCAUUGGGCGUAAAGAGCUCGUAGGCGGCUGCUCAAGUCGAAUGUGAAAACUCGAGGCUCAACCUUGAGCCUGCAUUCGAUACUGGGCGGCUAGAGUCUGGUAGGGGGAUCUGGAAUUCCUGGUGUAGCGGUGGAAUGCGCAGAUAUCAGGAGGAACACCGGUGGCGAAGGCGGGUCUCUGGGCAGUAACUGACGCUGAGGAGCGAAAGCGUGGGGAGCGAACAGG